AGAGAGAGAGAGAGAGGGGUCGAUCCCGCGGCGCCGGGCUCCUCCGGCGGUUAUCCCGUCCUACCGACCACCGGCGGCCUGCAAGCCGGUGAGUACGUGCAGCGUUCCGAAGAGGCGCGUGCUCGCAGGGGGAGGGGAGGGGGGAGGCGCCGGAUCUCGCUGGACAAGUGCGUCAACAACAUGUGGUACCUUGUAUGGGAUGAAGUGAAGGCUAUUUUGUUAAUCAAUCAUCAUAUUAUGUGCACAAUAAGCUUUUGUUAUGCUUUCACCGUCGAUGCCCACUGGCUGGAUCAUACUUCUGUUUAUGAGCUCAUUGAAGUAACUCUCUCCUAGCUUAAAUCGGCCAAUUUCUCGUUUGCAUUAUAUAUAAAACCUUCAGCUAUCCAUCUCCA